rnacentral:tRNA from 1 species
UCGGGAUAGCUCAGCUGKUAGAGCAGAGGACUGAAAA